GGCAGCCCACUCCAGUGUUCUUGCCUGGAGAAUCCCAGGGACAGGGGAGCCUGGUGGGCUGCCAUCUGUGGGGUCGCACAGGGUCGGACACGACUGAAGCGACUUAGUAGUAGUAGUAGGAGCUCUGUUCCCAACCAUGAAAUUUCUUCUGCGAAACAGAGCUUCUGAUUUAUUGGAGUUUAUUGGAGUUACGUAGAUAGCUGUAUCAACACACAGUGAAAUGGAUGUGCAUUAUUUGAGGACAUAAAUUUUUUGGUACAGUCCUGUUUUCUCUGCCGAAGAAAACUGAACACAUACUCUCCUCCCAAAAUACAGACUAAAAAUCUAGUGUUAUUUACAUAUAUUGAUAACAAAUUAUAAAAUUCAUAAAGAUUCAUUUCCAUUUUUGUAUGAUAUCACUUAUAUGUGAAAUCUAAAAAAUUAUACAAAUGGACAGAAAUAGGCUCACAGACAUAGAAAAACUUAAAGGGGAAUGAGAGGGAGGGAGGGAUAAAUUAUAACGAUAAAGUUUACCCAUACUAUAUAUAAAAUAAACAACAAGAACCGGGGGACAGUAAUCAAUAUCUUGUAAGACCCCAUAAUGGAAGAGGAUCUGAAAAAGAAUAUAAAUAUAUAUGUCUAUCUGAAUCACUUUGCUGUACACCUGAAGCACUGUAAAUAACUAUAUUUCCAUUAAAAAAAGAAGUCUCUACAUGUGCUUUGAGGAAGUGUAUGCCAUCUGGUAAGUCAGUCUUAGAUUAACAGGUUGCUUUAAACUGCUAAAUGCCAUCGGAAUGCAGACUGGUUGUAUUCUGUGUAAUUGUUAAAUAGUUUCUUUAAAAAUAGUAUUCAUUGAAAGAGUUCAUGUAACCACUGACAUUUCAGUAUUGUGGCUUCUCGUACAACAUGUAUAUGUAUAAUCCUCUUCAUACCCCACCCCCAACUCCCCCACUUUUUUUAACAGUUCAUUGUAACUGGAAAAAGUUGGUAUAACUUUAAAAACACACAUACCCUUCAGGCAACUUUUAAAGAUGCCUGUGAGACUUUAUAUCUCAAAUAAUUGAUGGCCAAUUUUGUUGGGUUGUUUUUAAGCUCAAACUCUGAGGAUUUACCAAAAAAAAAAAAAAUAAAGUUUUAUCUCAGAGAACUAGAAACUAAUAUGAUGGUGUUGUGUUAGAUCCCCUGGUCCCUGAGGAGUUAUCUCAAGUUCCCCACUCUUUCACAAACCUUUUGAGGAUUAUUCUUUUCGUCUCUUCCUUUGCUGACCUUAUUUCCUAUGUUGAAAUGUAUGGUAAUAACACUAAUGAAGCCCGUGGCACACUUACUGGUGGAUGGUACCUGACAUCUUGACAUUUGGUUAUAUUAAAUUUGGCAUUUUUGUUGUUAUUUCUACUUAUUUGUGUUUUAUGUAAUUAUCUUUUUCCUAGGGAGAUUGUAAGCUCCCUCUGGCUAAGAACCAUGGUAUAAAUUUGCUUUAUGUAUCUAACAAGGGCGUGCAUGGGUGCAUGAUAAGUUGCUUCAGUCAUGUCUGAGUCUUUGCGACCCCAUGGACUGUAGCCCGCCAGGCUCCUCUGUCCCUGGGAUUCUCCAGGCAAGACGUCUAGAGUGAGUUGCCAUGCCCUCCUCCAGGGGAUCUUCCCGAAGCCCAUCUAACAGUGUACUACAGACAAUUGGUUUUCAACAUUUCCAGUCAAAUGGAAGAAGCAUGUAUAGAUUGGAAGGCUCUGAGAAGGUGUAUGUGUCUGAGACUACGUUCGUGUCUAAAAGCCUAGCGGUGCUUAAAACCAUGGCUGAAGAGUUCUGCUUAACUGUAUACUUUGCAUGGAUUUGUGAUUUGAAAUAGGGGGAAGAAAAGUCAAAUCGGAGACAGCUUGAAUGGCAUGCUGUCAGUUUGGAGCUUCAUGAAUUGGCAAUGGUCUCAUUUAGGACCUUCAGAUGUGUCUCUGCCUGGACAGAAUGAGACCGUUGUGCAUGUUGUGGAAGAGACAGCCACUCCUGGCCGCCUCACCACGGGCAGUGGUGCAUGACAGUUGCCCUUCAUUGCUGGCUUCUUAGAGCUUAACCUCUGACCCUCCACUUAGUCGCUGCGCAGUGGUUGGAGCAGGUUGGAGAUAUUGGUGAAUGACGGGCAUUGGCCUGCAACGUGCUUGUCAUUAUUUGACUGUCAAAAGGAGCCUGCCAUUGGUUUCCAUCAAGGUUUGAAACCUCUGUGCAGCAGUCCAUAUUACUUAACUUCCAAGGCUGUCAACAGCAUGAUCAAAUGUGCAUAUAAAAUCAGAGGGCUGAAUAUAUUGUCCAUCCAGAAGUUUCUCCCCUCUUCUUCUCUCUCUCGCUUUUUCUCUCUUUUCAUUUUUCUUUUGGUUAAAUAUAUUCAGAUGACUUUUACAGGGCCAAGAGGUUGAAUCUGUUGCCACGGUGAAAAAAGUGAACUGUUGUCUCCUGUGGUCUGAGUUUCAAACAGCACAACAUGAAUCUGAGCAGCUCCGCCAGCUAAGCUCUUGGACUUGUCUUGCAUAUUCUAUCAGCUUUUGGCCGUUUUGCUUAAGGGACUGAUGCUCCCCCAGUGAUACCUGGGGUUCACUGACAGGAUUAAACGUUUACUUUAGUAUUUAUGUAAUUUUGCAAAGGGAUGCGACCUCAGUUUGUGUGAUUCAUAAAGCAGGGAUUGAACUUUAAAAUAAUUUACAAAGGGAUGAUAAGACUUUUUUUUUUCUUCUUCUCACGGUAAAGAAGUUCAAACAUAAGAGUUUCAUUGGCUGUGACCAAGUCUUAGAAACUUCAGAGGUCAGUCUUAGGCAAGGUAUUUCUUGAGAAAAAUAUGGUGGUGAAAGCCAUCUUUUCAUCUGAGACUGAAGAAAUUCAUCUGAGACUCAAUUAAAAAGCAUCCUGAGGUGGAGAAGGAUGAGGGGCAGCCUCCAAUAUUGUUAACGUAUAUGAAAAAUGCUGGAAAUCAAACUUGAUAUGCUUCUAGCUUUGUGGAGUAAAUGGUUGCAAAUUCUA